UGGCGGCGUGCUUACACCUGCAAUUCGAACGCUGAAGGCCCAGCUUGCUGGGUUGGAUGAGUGGCGAACGGGUGAGUAACACGUGAGUAACCUGCCCUCUUCUUUGGGAUAACGGUCGGAAACGGCUGCUAAUACCGGGUAUUCACUGUCCUUCGCAUGGGGGGUGGUGGAAAGGUUUUUUCUGGUGGGGGAUGGGCUCGCGGCCUAUCAGCUUGUUGGUGGGGUGAUGGCUUACCAAGGCUUUGACGGGUAACCGGCCUGAGAGGGUGACCGGUCACAUUGGGACUGAGAUACGGCCCAGACUCCUACGGGAGGCAGCAGUGGGGAAUAUUGCACAAUGGGCGAAAGCCUGAUGCAGCGACGCCGCGUGAGGGAUGACGGCCUUCGGGUUGUAAACCUCUUUCGCUCAUGGUCAAGCCGCAACAGUGGUUGUGGUGAGGGUAGUGGGUAAAGAAGCACCGGCUAACUACGUGCCAGCAGCCGCGGUAAUACGUAGGGUGCGAGCGUUGUCCGGAAUUAUUGGGCGUAAAGGGC
rnacentral:rRNA from 1 species